CGGAGGUGAAAUGCUUAAAAUGCACCACAUAUAAUAGUUAUGAUAUCAAAUGACAAACGACCAGAAAGGACAGAAAUAUUAUAUAUCUAUUUCCAUGACGACCACGUGAUUUGACAUAGGACAGAAACGAAGAGGUUAGAUAAAACUGAACAAUGUCAUGUCAUUUUGUGAAACGUUAUCAGUGCACUGUUACACGAGUCGGGUUCUGAUAUCAACAAUAAUGCAGACAAAUUUCAGUGUAUCGAAUGUGAUGAGGGAGGGAGACUGGAGCCAUUCGGAUGGAUUUCUCGCACCGGCACACACCGGAUUAUUUACCGAGAACCCCGGAAUCCGCCGUUCGGCUGGUCAACGGGAUUAAUCUGUCUUUGAUCCAAUGUAAAAACUACUGUCAGAAUGAUAGAAAAGCAAGAUCCAUGCUGCCUCAAAGAUACCACUCACCCGCCGACUACUGUCCUUAUCUACAUACACGUGUACAAAUCAUUAUACAUACAUAACCAAUCCAGGAAGCAAACCAAUCAUCUCAAAAUGCCAAAAUGGACACGAGAUACCAAGAUAAUAUUAAUUUUCUGGAACCGGGCACUAGUUGAGAUACAAUCAAAUUAUUAGGAUUGUGGGUGUAUUUCCUCCUAUGCAGCGCAUGGACAGAGUUCUGUAUGGACAGAGACACCUGUAUGUUUGUUUACCUGGUCCUCCUUUGACCCGGGAGUACACUCUCUGUGAACUCUCUUAUCAAAUUAAUUACAUCUUAUUCCAAUAAAGAUUCUCUCUCUAUCCUCAGCUCCAGGGUCAGGGCAAUUUAAAACGAAUAGAAACAACAAUUUUUUGUGAAAAUAAAUGAAAUGUUUUUUAACAAUAA